CCCAGCCUCAGGCAGGCUGCCCUGCCCCUUUUGCAGCAGCUGCAGGCAUGGCUGGGGGAGCCCAGGGGGCAGCGACUGGUGGUCCUGCACCUGGAGGAAGUGUCGUGGGAGCCAACACCCUUGCUGAAGUUCCAGGAGCCCCUACCUGGAGAAGCCAGCCCCCUGGAGCUGGCGCUGUUGGUGUUGUAUCCAGGGCCCGGCCCAGAGGUCACUGUCACCGGGGCUGGGCUGCCCGGCGCCCAGGUACCAGAGAGGUGAAUGAGGCUGUCCCUGGGCCACCAGGAGCCCUCAUUCAAGGCAAGGGCGGGAUUAUUGAGGGGGGGGGUUAACUGCACCUAACAGAAAGGCUGUGACUGUCCAAGUUGGAAUUUUGCAGGGAUGUUGAGGGCAGCAGGCAAGCAGGGCUGGUGUCCCAAGGCCCCAGCAAGCCUGGCUGAGUCCCCAUCUCCACAGAGCCUCUGCCCGACCAGGGACUCUGGCUUCCUGGCGUUGGCGGUCGACCACCCAGAGAGGGCCUGGCGUGGCUCUGGGCUUGCUCUGACCCUGCGACGCCGCGGAAAUGGUAGCCCCCUCCCCCAGACUGGAGCCGGGCUGGGGCGGCUGCCCUCGG
rnacentral:lncRNA from 1 species